CCUACGGGUGGCUGCAGUGGGGAAUUUUGGACAAUGGGGGCAACCCUGAUCCAGCCAUGCCGCGUGCGGGAAGAAGGCCUUCGGGUUGUAAACCGCUUUCGGCCUGAACGAAAUCGCCGGGGAGAACAUCCCCGGUGGAUGACGGUACCGGAAGAAGAAGCACCGGCUAACUACGUGCCAGCAGCCGCGGUAAUACGUAGGGUGCGAGCGUUAAUCGGAAUUACCGGGCGUGGUUCGUGAGCAGGCGUUUGAAAUCCCCGGGCUUAACCUGGGAACUGCGUUUGUGACUGGCGGGCUGGAGUGCGGAAGAGGGAGGUGGAAUUCCACGUGUAGCAGUGAAAUGCGUAGAGAUGUGGAGGAACACCGAUGGCGAAGGCAGCCUCCUGGUCUAGCACUGACGCUCAUGCACGAAAGCGUGGGGAGCAAACAGGAUUAGAUACCCGAGUAGUC
rnacentral:rRNA from 1 species